rnacentral:rRNA from 1 species
UACGUAGGGGGCAAGCGUUGUCCGGAUUUAUUGGGCGUAAAGAGCGUGUAGGCGGCCAUACAGGUCAGCUGUGAAAACUCGAGGCUCAACCUCGAGACGUCGGUUGAAACCGUAUGGCUAGAGUCCGGAAGAGGAGAGUGGAAUUCCCGGUGUAGCGGUGAAAUGCGCAGAUAUCGGGAAGAACACCCAUGGCGAAGGCAGCUCUCUGGGACGGUACUGACGCUGAGACGCGAAAGCGUGGGGAGCGAUCAGG